rnacentral:rRNA from 1 species
ACUCAAAGGAAUUGACGGGGACCCGCACAAGCAGUGGAGUAUGUGGUUUAAUUCGACGCAACGCGAAGAACCUUACCGAGGCUUGACAUCAUGACGAGCAUGUUAGAGAUAGCAUGGCCCUUAGGGGCGUUAUGACAGGUGGUGCAUGGUUGUCGUCAGCUCGUGUCGUGAGAUGUUGGGUUAAGUCCCGCAACGAGCGCAACCCUUGUCGUUAGUUGCCAUCAUUAAGUUGGGAACUCUAGCGAGACUGCCGGUGAUAAAUCGGAGGAAGGUGGGGACGACGUCAAAUCAUCAUGCCCCUUAUGUCUCGGGCUACACACGUACUACAAUGGCUGUUACAGCAGGAAGCGAAGGAGUGAUCCGGAGCGAAUCCCUAAAGACAGUCCCAGUUCGGAUUGCAGGCUGCAACUCGCCUGCAUGAAGUCGGAAUUGCUAGUAAUUGCAGGUCAUCAUACUGCAGUGAAUACGUUCCCGGGUCUUGUACACACCGCCCGU